rnacentral:rRNA from 1 species
CCUACGGUGGGCAGCAGUGAGGAAUAUUGGUCAAUGGGCGCGAGCCUGAACCAGCCAAGUAGCGUGAAGGAUGACUGCCCUACGGGUUGUAAACUUCUUUUAUAAAGGAAUAAAGUGAGGCACGUGUGCCUUUUUGUAUGUACUUUAUGAAUAAGGAUCGGCUAACUCCGUGCCAGCAGCCGCGGUCAUACGGAGGAUCCGCGCGUUAUCCGGAUUUAUUGGGUUUAAAGGGAGCGUAGAUGGGUUGUUAAGUCAGUUGUGAAAGUUUGCGGCUCAACCGUAAAAUUGCAAUUGAUACUGGCAGCCUUGAGUACAGUUGAGGUAGGCGGAAUUCGUGGUGUAGCGGUGAAAGGCUUAGAGAUCACGAAGAACUCCGAUUGCGAAGGCAGCCUGCCGGGGUGCGACUGACGCUGAGGCUCGAAGGUGCGGGUAUCAAACAGGAUUAGAUACCCCGGUAGUC